GCCCAACAAGGACCCGAAGAGAUUGCUGGUAAAGUGCAGGUCAGAACCGCCGCAAGAACCAUUCCCUCCUUCUCUGGGGAUUGUGAUAACAGAAUUGCAAAAUGACAGGUGCUGAUGAGCAUGUGGAGACAUCGGAACCCUCGUGUGUGGCCGAUGAGGAGGUGAAACAGAGCAGCUAUUGAGGAAGACUGUCGGUUUCUCAGAAGGUUAAGCACCGAGUUCCCGGGUGACCCCGCAGCUCCAUGCCUGGGUCCACCCCCGAGAGAGCUGAACUGGAGACAGGCCCUUGCCAGACCCCUGCCUGCCCGCCUUCGUUCCUGCGCAGUCACGGCAGCCAAGGUGGAAACGGCCCCCAUGCGACGACGAUGACGGGUGACGGAUGAGUAGAGUGUGGUCCCUGCACAGACGAGACGCAGGGACCACGGUCAUGUACUUGACCUGAGUUCCCUUGUAUGAAACGUCCAGAACAGGCACAUCCAGAGACGGAGACCAGAGCGGGAUUCUCCCGCCGAGAGCUGUACUUUGGGGUCUUGGAAGCAACCCCCCCACCCUCGGCAGGAGGAGCUGUUUCCUGAGAUGGCGAAGGGCGUGGAGCCCUGGGAGCCACGUUGCAGCGCUGCCGCUUUCCACGUGGCCUCUUCUCUUGGCAGCGCACGCACUGAAACUGGAAUGACAGAGGCAUGAGCAUGGCCCCUGUGCAAGGAUGACGUGCAAACGUGUGAGUCGGCGUUUCCAGAAGAGUGAUGUUCAGAAGAAUUGUGUGAGUGUGCGGACCAGCGGGGAGAUGGAGGCCACUUGAUGAAGAGCCUGGAGCCCACCCCUUAAAGGAACAAGGCCCGUUUCUCCUAAGGCUGGACAGCUGGCUCCUCCGGCUCCAGCCCGGGUUAUUGACAUGCAAAUGCGUGCCCGGGAGCGCAGCUGCCGGCUGGCGCCGAGGCCCUCGCCCCAGGUGCAGCCCCACCGAGCCAGCAGGGCGAACGGAACCGUGGACCCUGCACAGGAGGAAAGGCAGAUUCACUAGCUCAGCGUGAUGUUUUUGAGGUUCAGAUGCGUAUCAGUGAUUUGACCCAUUUAUUGCUAAGAAUCAUUGGUGUGGCUGCACAUGGUGAGUUGAUCCACUUACCUGCUGAGAGACUCCUGGGCUGCUCUUUGCUCCUGCUCAUUACAGGCCUGAUCUGCCAGUUUCCCAGGGCGCAGAGUGCCUCGCUCCUGAUCUGCACCCUGAACUGCUCUCAGGGGCGUUGGAGGUGGGCCGCCGGAGCAGCUCACACUUCAGUCCUUGUCGAGGUAGCGGAGCUGCCCUGUUGGAGCUGUCGAUCGCGUGUGGAACCGUCCAUCUGGUCAGCCGCUUCGGGUCACCUAGUCACCGUUAUUUUUGUCAGAGGCCCAGUCCCACAUUUGGUCAGGCCGGCAAAGUACAAAUAGUGCAGCUCAUGGCAUUCAUAGAAUUAGAGGGACAGAAGUAGCUGCCAAAUGGUCGGAGCAGCAGAAUACAGGUCUCUCAACCGUCAGGCUCAUCGCAGCGGUGGAGACGCGGACAUCGUGGCGAGUGCCUGCUGGGACCCCCGAGAGGGGGCAUCUGGAUAAAAUCAAUCUGCCACGUUUCAAAGGGCGUGCAGCAACACCAGAUCCCCAACCCACUGAGCGAGGCCAGGGAUCGAACCCGCAUCUUCAUAGACACUGGUCAGAUUCGUUUCCGCUGCGCCACAGCGGGAACUCCAGUCCAGUCCUGUUUUUCGUCAUGGAUGUCUGAGUCCUCUGGUCGCAAGGGGACUGGAUGAAGUCUGUCGCAUCUGGGAAGGGCUGCAUCCGGUGAGAGCCAGGUCGUUUCAAGGGCGCUUCAUCCAGUCGAAGACUGCUGUGCUGAGAGUCUAGUACGGCCUCCACAGAGGGGGAAACAGACAGUGAGAAGGCGCUUGCUGACUGUGUCUUGUGUGGUCGGACAUGGCAGCGCUGCACAGCCGGUGCAAGGCGCCAUAAGCCCUUUCUCGACAGAAACUCCUUCUGUGGCCUCUUUUUAAAAAUUUUUUUAAAAUUACUCAAAUGAAUUUAUCACCUCUGUAGUUGUAUGAUGAUCAUAACAAUCCGAUUUCAUAGGAUUUCCAUCCCACGGCCCAAGCACAUCCCCCCACCCCCCAAACUGUCUCCUCCGGAGACCAUAAGUUUUUCAAUGUCUGUGAGUCAGCAUCUGUUCUGCAAAGAAGUUCAGUCUGUCCUGUUUUCAGAUUCCACAGGUCAGUGAAAGCAUUGGAUGUUCGUGUCUCACUGUAUGGCUGACUUCACUUAGCAUGGUAAUUUCUAGGUCCAUCUGUGUUGCUAAGAAUGUGGGUAUUUCGUUCCUUUUAAUGGCUGAGUCAUAUUCCAUCGUGUAUAUGGACCACAUCGUCUGGAUCCACUCCUCUGUCGAUGGACAUU
ensembl:lncRNA